UACGGGGGGGGGUAAGCGUUGUUCGGAAUUACUGGGCGUAAAGGGCUCGUAGGCGGCCAACUAAGUCAGACGUGAAAUCCCUCAGCUUAACUGGGGAACUGCGUCUGAUACUGGAUGGCUUGGAUUCGGGAGAGGAAUGCGGAAUUCCAGGUGUAGCGGUGAAAUGCGUAGAUAUCUGGAGGAACACCGGUGGCGAAGGCGGGUCUCUGGACAGUUCCUGACACUGAGACACGAAGGCCAGGGGAGCAAACGGG
rnacentral:rRNA from 1 species